GACGAACGCUGGCGGCGUGCUUAACACAUGCAAGUCGAACGGAAAGGCCAGUGCUUGCACUGGUGCUCGAGUGGCGAACGGGUGAGUAACACGUGGGUGAUCUGCCUUGCACUCUGGGAUAAGCUUGGGAAACUGGGUCUAAUACCGGAUAGGAACCGUCUUUAGUGUGGUGGUUGGAAAGUUUUUUCGGUGCAAGAUGAGCUCGCGGCCUAUCAGCUUGUUGGUGGGGUAAUGGCCUACCAAGGCGUCGACGGGUAGCCGGCCUGAGAGGGUGUACGGCCACAUUGGGACUGAGAUACGGCCCAGACUCCUACGGGAGGCAGCAGUGGGGAAUAUUGCACAAUGGGCGGAAGCCUGAUGCAGCGACGCCGCGUGGGGGAUGACGGCCUUCGGGUUGUAAACUCCUUUCGACAGGGACGAAGCGUUAUGUGACGGUACCUGUAUAAGAAGCACCGGCUAACUACGUG
rnacentral:rRNA from 1 species